CCUACGGGUGGCAGCAGUGAGGAAUAUUGGUCAAUGGACGAGAGUCUGAACCAGCCAAGUAGCGUGAAGGAUGACUGCCCUAUGGGUUGUAAACUUCUUUUAUAAAGGAAUAAAACGAGGCACGUGUGCCUUUUUGCAUGUACUUUAUGAAUAAGGAUCGGCUAACUCCGUGCCAGCAGCCGCGGUAAUACGGAGGAUCCGAGCGUUAUCCGGAUUUAUUGGGUUUAAGGGGAGCGUAGAUGGGUUGUUAAGUCAGUUGUGAAAGUUUGGGGCUCAACCGUAAAAUUGCAAUUGAUACUGGCAGUCUUGAGUACAGUUGAGGAAGGCGGAAUUCGUGGUGUAGCGGUGAAAUGCUUAGAUAUCACGAAGAACCCCGAUUGCGAAGGCAGCUUACUAAACUGUGACUGACAUUGAUGCUCGAAAGUGUGGGUAGCAAACAGGAUUAGAUACCCGUGUAGUC
rnacentral:rRNA from 1 species